rnacentral:sRNA from 1 species
GCUGGGUGCGGUGGCGUGAGCCUGUAGACUCAGUUACUUGGCAGGCUGAAGCAGAAGGAUUGCUUGAGCCCAAGAGUUUGUAAACAGCCUGGGCAACAUAGCAAGACGUUGCCUCAA